rnacentral:rRNA from 1 species
GCCUGGUAGUGGGGGAUAACGUCCGGAAACGGGCGCUAAUACCGCAUACGUCCUGAGGGAGAAAGUGGGGGAUCUUCGGACCUCACGCUAUCAGAUGAGCCUAGGUCGGAUUAGCUAGUUGGUGGGGUAAAGGCCUACCAAGGCGACGAUCCGUAACUGGUCUGAGAGGAUGAUCAGUCACACUGGAACUGAGACACGGUCCAGACUCCUACGGGAGGCAGCAGUGGGGAAUAUUGGACAAUGGGCGAAAGCCUGAUCCAGCCAUGCCGCGUGUGUGAAGAAGGUCUUCGGAUUGUAAAGCACUUUAAGUUGGGAGGAAGGGCAGUAAGUUAAUACCUUGCUGUUUUGACGUUACCAACAGAAUAAGCACCGGCUAACUUCGUGCCAGCAGCCGCGGUAA